rnacentral:rRNA from 1 species
GGGAUUGCCUUAGUAACUGCGAGUGAAGCGGCAAAAGCUCAGAUUUGAAACCUGCUGCCUUUUGGUAGCCGGAUUGUAAUCUGGAGAGACAUCUUCUGGUGGACAGCCGGUCUAAGUUCCUUGGAACAGGACGUCAGAGAGGGUGAGAAUCCCGUAUUCUGGUCGGCCCGUGCACCUUGUGAAGUGUCUUCGACGAGUCGAGUUGUUUGGGAAUGCAGCUCAAAAUGGGUGGUAAAUUUCAUCUAAAGCUAAAUAUUGGCGAGAGACCGAUAGCGCACAAGUAGAGUGAUCGAAAGAUGAAAAGCACUUUGAAAAGAGAGUCAAAAAGUACGUGAAAUUGUUGAAAGGGAAGCGCUUGAGACCAGACUCGGGCGUAGGUGAUCAGCGUUGCUUCUGCUUCGUGCACUUGCCUACACUCGGGCCAGCAUCGGUUGCGGCGGCGGGAUAAAGGUUCGAGGAAUGUGGCUCCCUCCGGGGAGUGUUAUAGCCUCGAGCGUAAUGCCGCCUGCUGCGACCGAGGACCGCGCUUCGGCUAGGAUGCUGGCGUAAUGGUCUUCAGCGACCCGUCUUGAAACACGGACCAAGGAGUCUAACAUCUAUGCGAGUGUUCGGGUGUAAAACCCCUGCGCGUAAUGAAAGUGAACGGAGGUGGGAACCCCUCACGGGGCGCACCAUCGACCGAUCCUGAUGUCUUCGGAUGGAUUUGAGUAAGAGCAUAGCUGUUGGGACCC